UAGCAUGAAACCUGAUAUCUAACAUUGGCGGGUAGGAAGAAACAACAGUGCUUACUUCUCAACUCUUCUGUCCCUUCAAAAAUCCUGCUUCCAGGAAAAUAUAUUGUCUGGUUUUUGAAGUUCCUCCUCCAAGAUGUCGUCAAACGGAGAUGAUUCCGGAGCGCCGGUUGGAAAAUCGAAGGUUAGAAAUGGCAAAGAUAAUGUUUGAAUUUUGAAGUUCCUUCCCCAAGAUGUCGUCAAACAGGGACACAA